AAUUUCACUCCUACUUCUACUGAGAUAAUAGUGCAUAUAGUGCAUAUCCAUCGCUGAAAGAAGAAAGAGUUUUUGAUUGAACUGAAAAACCAAAUGGAUUUGGAGUCCUACAAAUGAUUAUCAUUUAGAGGAUGUGUGCCCACAUACAGACUAGAAUACUUAACAGGAGAAUGAAGAAUACAAAACAGAGCUCUGUCAUCUCCAGCCCAGGAUCAUUGGAUACUCCAUUUUCGUGCUGAAUUUGCCUGGCUGUUUGCUUUUUAAGUUUAAAGUGUAAAUGCCAACCUGCUUUUCUCUGA